rnacentral:rRNA from 2 species
GAUGAACGCUUGGCGGCGCGCCUAACACAUGCAAGUCGAACGGUUAAAGCACCUUUUAGGUGUGUAUAAAGUGGCGAACGGCUGAGUAACACGUGGGCAACCUGCCCUCCUCUUGGGGAUAGCCUCGGGAAACCGAGGAUAAUACCCGAUACUUCAAUGUGGCCGCAUGACGACAUUGAGAAAGCUUUUGCGGAGAAGGAUGGGCCCGCGGCCUGUUAGCUUGUUGGUGGGGUAGAGGCCUACCAAGGCAAUGAUGGGUAGCUGGGUUGAGAGACCGACCAGCCAGAUUGGGACUGAGACACGGCCCAGACUCCUACGGGAGGCAGCAGUGGGGAAUCUUGCACAAUGGGCGAAAGCCUGAUGCAGCGACGCCGCGUGCGGGACGAAGGCCUUUCGGGUUGUAAACCGCUUUUCAGCAGGGACGAGGCGAAAGUGACGGUACCUGCAGAAGAAGCCCCGCUAAUACA